UAGAUGCGAGAGUAGAGCAUAUCAAUAAGCGGAGGAAAAGAAACUAACAAGGAUUCCCCUAGUAACGGCGAGUGAAGCGGGAAGAGCUCAAAUUUGAAAUCUUCAAGGUUCUACCUUGACGAAUUGUAGUUUAUAGAAGUGUUUUCUGUUAGUAGAGUGGCAAAAGUUCUUUGGAAUAGGACAUCAUAGAGGGUGAGAAUCCCGUAUUUGGUCAUUCCUCCUAGCGUUGUGAUACACUCUCAACGAGUCGGAUUGUUUGGGAAUGCAGUCCAAAAUGGGUGGUAAAUUUCAUCUAAAGCUAAAUAUUGGCGAGAGACCGAUAGCGAACAAGUACCGUGAGGGAAAGAUGAAAAGAACUUUGAAAAGAGAGUUAAACAGUACGUGAAAUUGUCAAAAGGGAAGCGUUUGACACCAGUGUUGUUUUUCCGAAAAUCAAUUACGAAUGUUUUGUUUUUGAGGAGUUAUGACUUCAUCGGCUUGCUCCUUUCUUUACGAAACUUUCUUAAUGCACUUUUCGGUUAACAAGUCAACAUCAAUUUCUUUUGUUGUAAAAGGGUAUGAGGAAGGUGGCUUUCUUUUCGGAGAAAGUGUUUAUAGCCUUGUAGCCUCUACAAUCGGAGAGAUUGAGGUCUGCAGCGUAGAUCCUUCGGGGUUAGAUACAGUUUGUGCUAAGUUAUAGCUUUUCAUAGACAACUUGUUGACUAUGUUUAGUCUUGUAGCUUACUCGCUUAUGCUAUUUUACCUACGCUUAGGAUGUUGACGCGCGUGUGUGCGUG
rnacentral:rRNA from 1 species